UAGUAACGGCGAGUGAAGCGGGAAGAGCUCAAGCUUAAAAUCUCCGGUCAGGUUCUGGUCGGCGAAUUGUAGUCUAUAGACGCGUUAUCAGUGUGGCCGGUCGGGGUAAGUUCCUUGGAAGAGGACAGCAAUGAGGGUGAUACUCCCGUUUGUACCUGAUUGUGUUGCGCGUACGAUGCGUGUUCUUUGAGUCGCGUUGUUUGGGAAUGCAGCGCAAAGUAGGUGGUAAAUUCCAUCUAAAGCUAAAUAUUGGUGCGAGACCGAUAGCGAACAAGUACCGUGAGGGAAAGAUGAAAAGAACUUUGAAAAGAGAGUUAAAGAGUACCUGAAACUGCUGAAAGGGAACCGGGUCGUUGCCAGUGUCUAUAAUCCUUGGCAUAUUUCAUUGCCGUGUCUGUUUGUUCCGCGUGUUUGUAGCAGUUUGUUCUGUGCAUUGCGUGGUUGUGAGCGGUCGUGGCGGUGCCCUGUGCUUUGGUGGGACGUCAGAGUCAGUUCGUAUGCUGCGGGAAAUGGUCGUGCAGGAGGUAGGUCGGGGGCUUGCUCUCGGCUGUUAUAUCUGUGCGUGCCAGUAGUCGUGGUUGGGACUGAGGUGCCUACAACGUGCUUUUGAGUCUUUGGGUCGCUCUGUGCGCGCGUGUGCGGGAUAGCUUGCUAUGCCGUGUGCGUUUGUGUGUGGAUGGCGUGCUCUCUGUAACUUGUUGCCGUUC
rnacentral:rRNA from 1 species